rnacentral:rRNA from 2 species
AACGAACGCUGGCGGCAGGCUUAACACAUGCAAGUCGAGCGCACUCUUCGGAGUGAGCGGCAGACGGGUGAGUAACGCGUGGGAAUCUACCUAUCACUACGGAAUAACACAGAGAAAUUUGUGCUAAUACCGUAUACGUCCUAAUGGAGAAAGGUUUAUCGGUGAUGGAUGAGCCCGCGUUGGAUUAGCUAGUUGGUGAGGUAAAGGCUCACCAAGGCGACGAUCCAUAGCUGGUCUGAGAGGAUGAUUAGCCACACUGGGACUGAGACACGGCCCAGACUCCUACGGGAGGCAGCAGUGGGGAAUAUUGGACAAUGGGCGCAAGCCUGAUCCAGCCAUGCCGCGUGAGUGAUGAAGGCCCUAGGGUUGUAAAGCUCUUUCACCGGUGAAGAUAAUGACGGUAACCGGAGAAGAAGCCCCGGCUAACUUCGUGCCAGCCGCCGCAGUAA